rnacentral:tRNA from 1 species
GAAUGUAGCUCAGUGGUGGAGUGCUAGCCUACAAUGCAUGAGGUCCUGGGUUAAAUCCUCAGUACAUUUU